rnacentral:rRNA from 1 species
UACAGAGGUCUCAAGCGUUGUUCGGAUUCAUUGGGCGUAAAGGGUGUGUAGGUGGCGCCGUAAGUCGGGUGUGAAAUCUCGGGGCUUAACUCCGAAACUGCAUUCGAUACUGCGGUACUUGAGGACUGGAGAGGAGACUGGAAUUCAUGGUGUAGCAGUGAAAUGCGUAGAGAUCAUGAGGAAGACCAGUGGCGAAGGCGGGUCUCUGGACAGUUCCUGACACUGAGACACGAAGGCCAGGGGAGCAAACGGG